UACAGAGGGUGCAAGCGUUAAUCGGAAUUACUGGGCGUAAAGCGUGUGUAGGUGGUUUGCUAAGUCAGGUGUGAAAUCCCCGGGCUCAACCUGGGAACUGCAUUUGAUACUGGCAGGCUAGAGUGUGGUAGAGGAUGGUGGAAUUCCCGGUGUAGAGGUGAAAUUCGUAGAUAUCGGGAGGAACACCUGUGGCGAAGGCGGCCACCUGGACAACAACUGACGCUGAGACGCGAAAGCGUGGGUAGCAAACAGG
rnacentral:rRNA from 1 species